UGUUUGUUUUUGAAGUGCCAGAUCUACAGUAUGCAAAAUGUUUUCUACCUCUUUUACUUCUUUAGGACCUAUUGCAACCAACUGCAUACCUGAAUGUUUGAUAGCUUGUCAAUCUCUCGCUCUUUCUCCUUCUCUCCCUCCAGAUAUCCUGCAAGUGAAUUAUUUGCAUUUCUAUAUGACAUCUUUUGAAACUUACCACAUGCUUUUUCAAGACAUGUCUGCACAAGUUGGAUUAAAAAAAAAUCUAUGUGAGUCCUGCCACAGAAAAAUAAAUAUUGUUGCAAUGAUGCUUCAAAGUGACAGGGGAUGGGAAGGUAAGCCGUAGGAAAAAGUGUGUGUGGAAUGAAGUUAUGGGAAGAAACUAUAUAGCAAGAAACAGAAUGUGGUGACCAGGAACCAGUUCACAUAUAUGAGCAUGGGUCAAAUAUACAUCAAUAUGAGCAAACAGAGUCUGGGGUGGCACAUGCAUAAUUUUAUUUUGCCAGAUUUUGGUGGGAACCGUACCUCAUUUAAUCUUUUUGAACAUAGUAGGUAAGUGGCAACAGUUUUACUCAUAUAUGUUUGUUUCUGUUUAAUAGUGAAAUACCAUGUAUGUUUCGUGAUAAGCUAACUGGGACCUACUCAUAGGUACAUGUGUACAUUAUUGCAGCUUUGGGGAUUGUUUUGUUUUUUACCUAUUUUUGCUAUUUUUUUAUCAUGUGUUGUUUUAUUACAUUUCUGUUAGCUACCAUGGGGACAUGAUUAUGUUAGAACAUAUAUACCACAUAUAUGCACGAAUUAGCAGCAUUUUUAAUAUUUUUUUGCAUGUAGCAAUAGACCUGCUUGUUCUUAGAAGUAGAAUAAUUUAUUUGUAAAGGCAGAGUGGAAUCUGGCCCCAGGCUUUCAACUUAGCUUUAAUUUGCCUCAUCAUUUCCUUUCUUGUGCAUGACCAGGGUCUUUCCCUCAGUCUUUGCUAUCUUAAGAACCCCCAGCUCCUCAGCCUCAGACACUCAGUGCUUUUCUUCCCAGAAAUUAGCCAAUCCCCAGCACCAAACGUUUACCAGUCAGCCCAUGAUUAUAGCAGUGAAUGGAAUUCUUUAUGUGAGAGCAACAUCUCAGCUGAAUUGUACCCCAGAGCCCAAACAUGUCAUUCGGAGUCUGUCUCUGAAAAUCAGUGAAGUCACUGCUGCCCAAGAGACUUUCCAGGAUCAGGUACACUGAUCUGAACAAAACUGAACUCCAGUCCCUUGAGGAGGAACUUCUGAAGGUCACUCACCAGAGUAGGAAUUCUGAAAGAGUGACCAGACAUAUUGGAUGUGAUUGCUUGUCCAUCUGAUAAUAUGGACAUUGUGCUUCACAGGACAGCAUGGAGCCUUCAGAUCUCUUGACUUGAUGUUUGACCUUAAAUAGAUCAUUCAAAAGUGAAGCUUUCCCCUUUAAAAGAGACAUUCUGGAUUUUUUCCAGGUAGUUACCAGAUUAACUUGCCUCCAUUUAAAAGUAAAACUCCCUAUGCUUCACCACCCAAGUGCCAUGUCCAACCAAUUCACUUGAGCCUUUGACAAAGCUUGACAGCUAAGUUAAGUUCUGUGUGAUUCAGAAGUCAAUACGAAUAAACUGAAGGCAGAAUUGUUCACCCUCUGAUUAUGACAAUAAAAGAAUCAAGAGAGAAUCCUGCAGAUCACAGUCAAUGCACCCACGAGUCAGACAGACAGGCAUUGGUCCUAAGUGCAAAUCACAGCACAAUCAGCUAAUUUUCUGGGUCCUGUUUGUACAAUGGAUGCUUUAGCUUUGACCAACAGGAUUUUCCAUUGGUUCUAAUAUUGGGCUUAAAGUGCUCUAGCCUGCAAGAUAGCUCAGUUGGUAGACCAUAAGGCUUUUAAUCUCAGGGUUGUGGGUUUGAGCCCCCCAUUGGGCAAAAAUAUUCCUUCAUUGCAGGGGGUUGGACCCCCGUGGUCCCUUCCAGUUCUAUGGUUCUAUUGGGCCCUAGAAUCUGAGAAACUGAAGCACUUCCAAAUGCCUAGAAUUACAAAAUAACUAUUUUAAUUGAUGGCAAAUGAUAACCAUGAAUCUUGUAAUAGUAAUAAAGAAACCUCUGAGAAUGCAAAUGAAGAGGCUGGUAAAUCAACUGAUAUAUUCCUGAUCAUAGUUUAAUUGACCAACUUUUUGUAGCUUGCUCAUUUUUAUUUGUUACACUACACUAUGCUUUAAAUGAGUUUCUAUAGGUGGCCUCUUACUUUUACAAAGAUUCUCUAUUGUUGCUGCUUUAAAGCAGCCUUCCCCAGCCUGCUGUUGUUGGACCCCAGUUCCUCCAGCCAGCAUAGUCUAUGGUUAGAGAUUAUGGGAAUUGUCAUCUAAAAUAUCUGGAGGGUGUCGGGUUGAAGACGGCUGCUAAAAAUAUUGCAUCAUAUCAUUUUAUUUUAUUUUUAGUAUCUAAUGUUUCUAUAGGGAGCAUGUCACCUCCUGUAUUGACUAGAAAGGUGAUUAAUAUGUUAUUGCUAAAUAAUAAUAAGAAAUAAUGAUUAGAUUAUAUGAACUUCCAUCAACUGUCACUGCAGAAUAGAAGAAUGCACUGAAGUUCCUCACUGGAUCAAUAUGACUUCUGUAUUAACAAUACAGUCAUUUAAUUUAAUUUAUUUCUGAAGACAUUUAUAUGUUCUGAUUGUGUUGCAUAGUGGCUUUUCACAAUAUCCCCAGUACCACAUUUGAUGGUUAGGAAAUGGAUUGCAUUAAUAUUUUUAUUCCAUACGCCACAUAAUGGAAUGAUGUCUAUGAACAUGAUGCAAAAUCCAUUAUUAUAUAUUUAGGCCAUUUAUUGAGUUUACUCACAUUCUGAAAUAUUGCUAACAAUACCUAUUAAUAAGUGUCAAUGGUGUGUGUGUUUGUGUUCAAAGUCAAAAUUCCAGAUCAUGUAUGUAUGCUGCAAAACCAAUUUCUGCAAACCAACUGGAGAAAUUAUUUCACUACCAAGAGAGAACAACCUAAUUUACUUUCCAGCUCCACAGCCAUCGUCUUCUAGCCACCUUGCCUGGUACUCAUCUGCUUAAUGAUGAGUCUGGUAUUGAUUUUGAGAAUAAUGAUCAAGGGUAAGGUUGUGGAUUAAUGAUGGACUGGGAGGAGUUGAUAGCUAUAAGCAGAGCCAAAGGCAGUUAACCUCUUCUAGCCAUUAGUCCCAAGGUGCUGCUGAGUACUGACUUACUUCUUGUCAUUAUAAGGAAUGUAAUGAAGACUAAAAGCAAACUACAGCCUAAUGGUUUGUGAUGGGGGCCUGGAAGAAUAGAGACAAUAGUCAGUCAGAUAAAACAUUUGACAAAUUUUGACCAAACUCAGUAGUCCUGUUAUAUUGUACAUGGGCUUUUAAAAUGUUUUGAUAGAAUUAUUUUAUUGUGUAUUUUAAUUAUGUAUGGAUUUUAUAAUUGAUUUUAUACUUCUAAACUUAGAAGCAAUUUUGGCAUGUGAGCAGUAUAUAAAUACAAAAAAAUAAUAAUUAAUUAAUAUUAAUUGCAUUCACGGAAUGCUCCAGGAAGAAAUAUCUGCUUAACUGUCCUCUAGAUCCUUCUAAUCACAAAGCUCUAGAUUUUGGAUCAUGUAUUGGGAUCUCUUAUGCCAAAUAUUUUGCUUGCCAAAGGCAGUGGUUCUUUUGGAUUUGAGAGCAACAAGCAGUUGCUUGUUGGGUGAAGGCUGUGUGUUUUAGGCAAGCAUUAGACAUUAACAUGCACAAUAUACCCUACUUAGACUAGAAAAAGGCAAACUACCAAGUUCUUAAACCUAGCUAGAAUAAAACACAUUCCAGACUGAUUCAUUAUAAUGUUCCAUCUGCUGCCAAAGAAUGCUUAGACACAGUGAAUGAUCCCCCUUGGAACUGGCUGAUGCGUAGCACCCUCUCAAGAUCUCUUAGUCUAGUCUGAGUUCUGCCUGACAGCAUUGAUAGCGCCUCCAGCUCUCAUAUUUACGUAUCCUGCUGAAUAAGGUAACUCAUGCCCAUGUGGAUCACAGGUCAGUGGUCCCUAGGACCCUUCCAUAAAUAAGUCCCUAAUUAGCGAUGUAUGUAUUUAAAGUUUUCUGUUUUAACCAUCAAGCUGAAAAUGUGGCAACUGCUGCUACUUCCUCCUUUUUCUCUCCCUUGUCUUCCAUGUUGUUUUCGAAUGACUGGCAGGGGAAGACUAUGGACAGAAAUGCAUGUUGUGCUGUAUAUUAAUGUUGGCACUUCUCUUGACCAAAGCGUGUGCAUUCUGUAAUACAAGAGAACCAAAGAGUUUAACUGUUCUACAGCAGGUAAGGGAACCCAUUCAUACUUAGCUCUUUAAUCAUCAUGCUAUUCAAUUAAGUGUUUCCUAGCAGACUGAACACUGUGAGAAACUUAUAGAUUUUCCUUGUCUGUUUUGCUUUUAGAGUCAAUCAAAUUGAUGUGUCAAAUUACCCUUUGUCCUGUAUGAAAUAGUAGCUAGAGUAGUUUUAAUUUAACCUAAUUUGAGGUGCCUUUUUCUAUAUCUGAGGCCUGUUUAAACCGUGUGCAUUUCCCCCCUUUAGGAAGACAGCAAAGGGAUGAAGAUUACAUAUUUGGAAUCCAGUGGCCAUGUUCUGCAAGGCAGAACCACUUGCUUGCUCCUGCCAAGAAGAAAAACACCAAACUCCAAAAGAAUUUGUAAUGUUAAGACUUUAUUUACAUUCAUAGUCUGGUUCUACAUAAUAGGUUUCUUGCAGCCAAAGUAUCCACCUUCCAAAAUGCUGGAAGUAAUUUAGGCUUUCUGCAAACUCAGGUUCCUAGAUGUCAACAAAUGUAUUUUCAUACAAUAAACACUUAUUUUUGCCCACUUAGAUUUACAAGCAGUUCAAGAUGCAGGUCAAAAUAAUUUCUGUUCUGGAAAGUGAUGUGACAGUGUUGGGGAAGAAUUGGGGCUUUUUUUCCAGCCAGAACUCGCCAGAACUAAGGUGGAUGCCAUUGCAGUUCUAAGAAAAUGAAAGUGGUGUUCAUGCUGCUCCUCAGGAUUGGGGGACCCGACAGAACAGUGAGAGAUAGGUCACUGGAGCUGCAGAAUCAGGUGCCCCAACUUUGUCGGAACGUAAGUGCUUUCUACUCGUGUUAAGUCUCUGUUGGAGAUGUGUGGAGGAGCAGAGUUUCAGUUGUAAACAGAAGCAAUGCUUCAGUUGUAAAGCUGCUGAUAAUCAUUCUUGCUACCCUGUUUCCUGCAUCUACCUGCUGGCCUGUAAAGCAUGUUGGAAGAAAAAGAGAGCUGCGACAGCAAAAUCCAUUACAUCAGAAUUCCGGCAAGCUGUGUUAAUGUAUUGGCUGCACUGUGAGUGCUGUACACCUGCGAUGCCUCAAGGUGGGGGUUGGGUGGUGGUUUUGUUUCAGUUUGUAUAUGCUGCAAGAUACGCUGCGGAAUCCUUGACUGAUGAACUUCUUUGACGGAUGACUGAGCCCAAGGUGCCCAUUAGCGCUUAAGUAUUUCACCAAUUAUAUGCAGACACUAACAGCAUCUUAAAGGUUAAAUGUAUUUUCAUAACUCUGUUCACAUAAGCAAAUCCACCUUAGGAUUAACAGUGAUUUAUUCUUGUUGGUUAUUGACGAUAAACUGCCAAGAGGCAGAAAGAUAAUUAACUCAGAUAUAAUGAUUCUGUGACCAAUUAUAUUGGAUAUAUCUGAGAUCAUUAACUCUGCAUCUACAACAGGAAGCAAAAACACUAAGCAAAAUCAUUUUUAGAAUUACUGAGUCAUAAUAAUAAGAAAGGGAACUAAUACAAUACAACAGCAGGUUUGAUUGGCUUCACUUAGCCCUUUUGCUUAGUGCUAAUAUUAUUUGCCAACUGUGCCUGAAAAGGAGGUCCUUCGUUUCUAACUGCUUAAUAAUUUGUUUUUAUUAAAUGUUUGAAACAGGGAUUUUUACCAUUACCAUCUUGAGAGCAUUUACCCAGUAUAAGCCACAUAUCAGGGGUAUAAAUUUAUGAAUGCGCUAUGGAGAUAUAUAAAUGUCGGUUAAAUUAAUAGGAUGGAUAAGCAGGUUUGUUCAUACACUGGCUUCAAUGGAAAUUAAGCAUGCCUUGAGAUGCCCUGGAUUGUGCCUGUGAUAAAUUACAUUUAUAGCACCAUUUUGGAGGGUAAUGGGAACAGUGAUGGAGGGCAGAAGAAGAAGAAGAAGAGUUUGGACUUGAUAUCCCGCUUUAUCACUACCCUAAGGAGUCUCAA